GUUACCUUAGGAGCCCUCCGGACCGGCGCCAACUGUACCGUGCGAUUAACUCAAGAGUGCAAGCAAGCAAGGCCGUUAGAAAGGGGCGUCUUCUCUCCUCCCAGUGGCUUCCCGCGGGACGCGCCGUGAUGACGUAGUAUUCAUGAACUAAAGCAACUGAAGCCUCUCAGCAUUGCCGACCCACAGUGAGCACUCAGUCAAAGGCGCUGCUUGCUGUUAGGAGCCGUUGGGAAGCCUGAGCCAUGGAGCCUGGCUAACCCUGUGCCAUCAGCUGUGUGGCCUCGGGUGAGCCACUUAACCUGUCUGGCUUAGGAUGUCACCUGACUGGGUGACUGUUUCUGUGGAAGCGUUUGUUAAAUGGAAGUACAGAUGCCACUCUGGGGGGAGCAGUUUACCCAGGGCUGCAGGCUGAGCUGGGCUGAAAGAGAUAAGAGAUGAGUGACAGGAAGGCCCAUGGACAACCUCAUGGUCCCAUACUGGCCUUCUGACCUUCUUGACAGCUACCAUUCCUGCCCCACCCCUUCCUCCCUUUCCUGUCCUCAGCAUGUCUAAUGUCCCUUGGAAGAGGGUCCCUAGCUUACACCAACUGAAACUAUACAUGUUAACACUUCAAUAAAUAUGUGUACACAGGGCUGCUCCCAUUGUCAGCCACUUAGAGACACUGACAUGGCCCACACCACACAAUACGCUCACAUACACACACAGACUUGCACAGAAAUACUUUCAUCACCAGACCCACAGAGACAUCCUGACACGCAGACCCUCACGGUCACACUGUUAUGCCUCACACACUGUCACACAGUAGUUCUUGUUCAACUUUCCAAAAUGUGUAUGGAUCCACUUCUGUGCCCAGUGCAUAUGCUGUCGUGCUGUCUCAAAGGUCACCCCGAGUGGUGCACAACCCCAUGUGUUUCCUCAGCACACGCUGUCACGGGCACACCUCCACGUCUGCUCACACAGUCACCCGUGCCUGGCCUCUUGCAGGCAUCUGGAGUCACGCACAUCGUCUCAUACAGCCUCAUCCCUACUGCCCGCUGCACACCAGCUCUCACCACGACGUGUGGCUGCAUGUGCUGUCUCAUACAACCUGGACGCCGUCACACGCGGUGUCACAUAUUCUGUCACAAUCGUGAAGCGUUGCGUGCCAUCUCACAUGGUCAUACACGGCAGCCACACACUGUCAUCAAAGAAUCACGGACACUGAUACACAACCCCCCACCACUGUUCUUUAUUUAGUCCCACACAGACUCACACAUUCAGUUUCAGGACUCUGGUGGUUUUAUUUUACAAAAGCUUUGAAUGUCCACGCCAAGGCUUGUCUGGGGCCCAGAGGGUUGGGUUGGACAGACAUCUGGCUACAAGAGGGGAGGGACACCAACCCCUGCCCUGAGGCCAUGCUCUGUGCCCUCAUGAGCUGAGUGGGGCCACCACAGUGGUGGUGGUGGGAGGCAUGGGGCCUGUGGGGAAGGAGCCUGUGGGUGAGCCCAACAGGGGCCCUGGGAAAGGCAUGAGGUGGCUAACAGGCCCUGACAGCACCACGGGGCCCAGGCCUUGGUAGAGGUGGGCAGUGCCAGGUGGGCCCAAUGUCAAGCCUGAGGCCACCUCCCCACAAUUCCCACUACUGCUGCCCCCAGCCACCACCAUGAAGCUGCCAGCUGGCCCUUCAGCUGCUCCUGUACCUCCUAGACUCGAUCCCCGUUUCUUUUUUCCUUUUCCAGAUGCCUUGCGGUUUCGAGUCUGGAUACCAUCCUUCCGCAUGGUCAGUGGUCGGUUCACCUGCCAAGAGGGAGGCCAUGGGUGUUUCCCAACUCCACAUCUUGCCUCUACGUCUCCUCCAGGGAUGCUCUCUCCACCCCACUUCUUAAGAAUAGGGAAUUGGUUCAAGGACUAGGGAGUGCGCCCCUGGUGUGGCACAGAAUGGCAGCUCCACAAACAUAGAUGUGCUUAUCUCUUCUGUUCAACACUGUGUCUCCAAUGCCUGGAACAGGGCCAAGCACGCAGUAGGUGCUCAAUGAGCUGAGCCUCAGUUGAGAUGAGUCUGAAUGUACCAGAUCCAAAGGUAGAAAGUGCCACAUUCCCCGGGGAUGAGACCAGCUAAGGCGCUCCAGGACGAGUGGUUGAGAAUCCGCCUGCCAAUGCAGGGGACAUGGGUUCGAUCUCUGGUCUGGGAAGAUCCUCCUAAGCCUGUACUCCACAACUACUGAGGCUGUGCUCUAGAGUCUGCGAGCCACAACGACUGAGCCCGUGUGCUGCAACUACUGAAGCCUGCAUGCCUAGAGCCCGUGCUCCGCAACAAGAGAAGCCACCACAAUGAGAAGCCCACGCGCUGCAACGAAGACCCAACACAGCCAAAAAUAAAUAAAAUAAGUUUAUUUUAAAAAAAUACAUUUGCUUACAGGGAAAAAUGAUGUCAAUAAAAAUAGUGAAUAAACAAUUGUGCAUAGAUCUUA